GGCGCGAGGCGUGUCCAGUAAGGUCUCCUGUGAUUGGGCAGAGCGAGCGAGCGCCGCUGGUUAAGCUCGUGCGGCGUUUAAGAGUUUAUUAUUGUAACUUUGUUACAAUUAUUACGAUUACCGUCAUCGUUAUUAAAUUACACCAGUGGGACUACUACACCAUCCUAACUUCUCACGGAUAGUGGGCAGCUCCUGGACUCUGAAGACCUGCAAAACGUGUCCACGGCAACGCCCGCUACGUGGAGCAUUGCGUGGCCUCACGUUGGCCCCACUCGCUUCUACCGGAAAUAAUGGUCUCUGGGCAGCGAAGCACUCAACCGCGUCAUGUCUGACCAAGGCAGGAACAAUAAGGAAAAAGAAGGAUCCACUUUCAAGGAUGUGGAUGUCCUGGGGCGGCUGCUGGAUUUGUUGAAUACCCCGGCCAGCAAACAGCAGCUUCCAGCACUGGGCAGUAUGGGAGCUUCCAGCCGUGUGGGGAAGGGGAGGAGAGAUGCUCGUUUCCAGUCGACCGAGGCUCUGCAGUUGGAAGCUUUCAGUUCCAAGUACAAGAAUGAGCGGGCGUUUAGCUCUCUACAUGAGCACAGCCGCUUCCUGGAGAUUCUCACUGCUCUCAUCACACAGCGGCUUCUAUGCAGACAGUGGAGAGACCGGGCGCCGAUGGCCAAUAUUCUACCUGUGCUCAUCUGCCUCCGCCUCUUCAUGCGGGACUUUUCUUACCAGAGGGUGCUGUACGAUAUGGGAGGGGUGUCUGGCUUAGCAAUGUAUAUGGACGAGGUGGCACAGCGGCACUUGUGUUACGAAGAGGAGAAGUUUGCAGAGGACGUCCUUGUCAAUCUCACCAAUAUCUUCCAAAAGCUCGCUGGAGUGGUGGAGCAGAGGGAAUGGGUCACAGAAUCUGGGGCACACAAGACGUUGGUGAUUCUGACAGCUGCCAGGGAGUCCAGUGUGCUGCUGGGUUCACUGCUGGCACUCAACAGUCUGGCUGAGAGUGCGGCGUGCCGCGGGAAGCUGGCGGAGCUAGCUGUGGUGGAGAAUCUCCUGCCUGUUCUGCAGGACUAUGACCUCCUAUCCCAGCGGUUAGCUAUGGACCUACUGCGGCAGCUGUGCCAGGAGCGCCCUGUGUGGCAUCAGAUGCGGGUGUUGGGUGGAGUGCCGGUGCUGUUGAGCCUCCUGCAGGGCGAGCACCUGCGCCUGCUUGCGAGCGCCGUGUGGGCCCUCGUGCACUUGUGCGAGGACCAGGCCAUGCUCGAGGACAUUCGGCGCUGGGGGGGUGUCACUCAGCUUCUGCGGCUGCUGCAGGGGGACCGUGAGCGUCGGUUUGUGUCGGACCGCAUUUCCUUUGGGGGCCUGUCAAGCGCCAAUGCAGCUGGGCGACUGCGGCAGCUCCCGCUUUCGGAAGAACUGAGCCCCGCGGAAAUCCAGGAUGGCCUCACCUCCUUGCAGGCUGCGUGUUGUACCGCCCUUACUGAGCUGGUGCUCAACGACAGCAAUGCACAGCAAGUUGUGCAGGCUAACGGGGUGUACAUCAUCGGCACUCUGCUGCUCCCCAACCCCACCCGCAGCACACACAAUAGGGAUGUCUUACAGCGUUAUGCCUUCAGAGCCCUGCGGUUCCUCUUCAGCAUGGAGCGAAAUAGGCAUCUAUUCAAGAGGCUCUUCCCAGCAGUGCUCUUUGAAAUGUUCAUCGACGUGGGACAUUAUGUGCGAGACAUUGUGGCUUACGAGCCCCUUGUUUUGAGGCUCAACGCACUCAAGCCAGAGGAGGUGCAGGAGAUCCAAGAGGCAGUGGAGAGCAUGGACCAGACCAGACUGCCAGAGAAACGCAUGGGGGGCUAUGCCGUGCUGGAGCACCUAGGCAGUGGGGCCUUUGGCAGUGUCUACAAGGUGAGGAAGCUGAAUGGUCAGCAGCUGCUUGCGCUCAAGGAGGUGAGCCUGCACAACCCUGCGUUCGGCAAGGACAAGACGACGCGGGACUCCAGCCUCAAUUCCAUCAUCUCUGAACUCUCCAUCAUUCGUGAACAGCUCAAACACCCAAACAUUGUAAAAUACUACAAGACAUUUGUGGAAGAUGACCGCCUGUACAUUGUGAUGGAGCUUAUUGAGGGAGCUCCACUGGGAGAACACUUUAAUGCUCUGAAGGAGAAACACGAGCGCUUCACGGAGGAACGAAUUUGGAACAUCUUCAUCCAGAUUUGCCUGGCACUGCGUUACCUACAUAAGGAGAAGCACAUCAUCCACCGAGACCUGACUCCUGGCAACAUCAUGCUGGGGGAGAGCGACCACAUCACCAUCACGGACUUUGGGCUGGCCAAGCAGAAGCAGGAGAACAGCAAGCUGACAUCCAUGGUGGGCACCAUCGUCUAUUCCUGCCCAGAGAUUUUGAAGAAUGAGCCAUACGAUGAGCGAGCAGAUGUGUGGGCAGCUGGGUGCAUCCUCUACCAAUUGGCUAUGCUCACACCGCCAUUCUACAGCACCAACAUGCUCUCCCUCGCCAGCAGGAUAGUGGGGGCGACCUAUGAGCCAAUCACCGAAGGACUCUAUUCGGCCCAGCUCAGCAAAACCGUACGAAGGUGUCUCAGUCCCGAGGCUGGAUUGCGCCCGGACGUGGUGGAGGUGUGCGCAGGGCUGUCGGCGCGCCUCAUGGCUCAUGCAGAUGCCCUGGGAGCCAACUGCUGUGACAUGGAGCACCGCUUGGAAAGGGAGCGGCGCCGUACUCAGCGCCGUCUAGCGCAGGCCCACAUGCACGCACAUUGUUGCCUGGCACAACAGGAGCAGGAAGGCAAGGGAGGCAGCUUGGAGAGCAGUGGGGGUGCAUCAAGCUUGCGUAGUGAAGAGGGCUGGGAGGGGGGGGGCACACUGGGCGUGGAUUGGAUGGAAGGGGGGGGGAAGCCUGGGUCGGCCCUUGUGGAGGAGGGUCUGGUGGGCCUGCCGUGUGCCUUCACGCUGGUGCCCAAAACCUGUAUCGACCACGCAAAGAGGGGCGCCGAGUCACCAAUCUAUGGUUUGGAGGGCGAGGACUCGCUUCUGACACCACCAGGGCCCUCCAGCACAGUGAGCAGCCCGUCCAGGCAGCACCCAUCAGCGGAGCGACGCCGCUACUCUCGCUCUGCCGACUCCAUCUGCAGGGGUAGCUCCAGACCGCGACCUCGGUCAGGAACGGGCAUUGCAGUGUCACAGCGCAAGGUGAGGCAGAUCUCGGAUCCCAUCCAGCAGAUCCUCUUGCAGCUGCACAAGCUUAUCUACAUUUCACAACUUCCUCCAUCGCUGACGCACAACCGGUCACGCAGGGCUGUGGAACGUUUCAAGAAGUCGCUCUUCAGUCCCCACAGCAAUGCUUGCAAUCUCAAGAGUGAGAUUCAGAAGGUGGUGCAGGGUUCCCAGGAGGUAAUCGACUUGGGCUGGGCCCUGGCGAAGCCUGGCGUCUACUGUCAGAGCAGCUCCAGCUCCCAGCUGAGCUCGGGGGAAACCCAUCGUGAGGGACAGCACCACCAUCAGCUCACUCCCUCCACCGAUCUUCACUCGUCGCCGUUGACCUUGGCCAGUGCAUUACAAAUACUGAUGAGAGCUACAGUUAUUAUGAUGGCGAUGACAAUCAGGAAGGCAUCACUUAUGGGCAAAUGCAGUGUAUGAUUGAAGAUGUGCUCAUGGAGAGUGGCUACUACAGUACAGGCCAAGCCACCCGGCACCAGGACUUGGAAUCUUCAACUGUGAGGGCCCUGCUGUCUUGACACGACCCAACACUGCUCGUUGGCAGAGUUCCUACAACAAGAAGACUCUGCCAUGGGGAGAACCCCUCCACAGGGACCACUUCACGAGGAAGCUGUGGCCCCAUGGUUCUCAGCCAGCUGCGGGUAGUCCUGUUGCGUAGCACAGCCUGGCAGACAUACUGAUGGUGUGUCAAUAGCCUGCAAAAGUUCCAUAUGCAUGGUAAUUUACACAGACACUGUGCUCUUUUCUACGGGUUCAGAUGGAGUCCUCUUAAGGCAACAAAACACCUGAGAACACAUUUUCUAAAAUAGUCCAGAAUUAAUAGGUAAAGCGUACACAUUGACAUUGCACUUUAUCACCGUUGAGGCUCUGGAUACAUUAUAUAACUCCUUUAACUUGGGCUAGUUUUUUUAAAACUCAAUUACAGUUAAUUCUCAAUGAUCCGUGGGCAGACCAUUCCCUUUGAGUUUUAAGCUUGCUUGCAAAAAUAUAGAAUAUCUCUCCACAUGUGUUUGUAUAGUCAUUCGCUGCUCCUCACUCGUCAGUCGAUGGUCAGUGACUGGGUGCCUAUGAGAAUGCAAGCACGUCGGGAAGCAAAUGGAUUAGUUUAAGAAGCAAUCAAAACAGAUGCCACAUUCCGCAUUUUCACCCCCAUUUUCACCCCCAUUCUGCAUAGCUAAACAAUGCAUAUUUUUAUUGCCUAAUCUGCACAUGUUUUGAUUAUCCGUGUUUUUGUUUCAUUUGGGCCACCCCUCCACCCUGCAUUACCCUGGGUAAUUAGCCGGUGACGACUAUUUAAUGCAGGUGAAGAAACUUCAGGGGAGCCGAUAUGAGUAUUACAGCGCAGACUAAUCUAAAUUUAGUCGUGUUAAAAACAGUAUGGCAAGUCUUGGCUUGACAAGUCGAGGAAGCAUUUUCCAGUUUGGAACAUUGACUUGUGCACAUGCUCCGUCGUGGAACCAGAAUCAUGCAUUGAUGAAGAUCGAUUCAUGACCCAAAUGAUACGCACAUCAAAUUACAUGCCCAAGAAUGGUUUGCUUUUGAUUAUGCUCAUUUUAUGCUAUGUAAAUGCACAUACCUAUGUAGCACAUACAGAUGAGCCAUGCAAUGUAGACAGAAUGACAUAACCAAAUUAGGACGUAACAUACAGUGCGGAUGGAUAAAAGUAAAAAAGGACAAAACAAACCAAAGCACAGAUGAAACACAAAUAACAACACAUACAAGACAUUACAAAGGAACGUCCAAGAGUAUAAUCAGGGAUUAUUGAUACAUUGCAUAAACUGUUGGUAUAAGAAGGCAGCUGCGCUUUAUUCGAGUGGAUGUUUAUCCCAUUACGUGCAUUAUAACAGCGAUUCUCAAUCAUUUUUGUACCCAGGCUUAGUAGAGCCACAGUUCAAACGUCUUCCGAGGCACUUUGAGAACCCCACAGUGGGGCAGUGUUGUAGCUGUGUGGGCUUAUCAACGUCUGAUUUACUCUUGCGCUGGUGCAAGCUGGAUCAGCAGGAGAAUCCACUGUGAAUCCAGUUGUCUUUCACAGACCCCCUUAAUGAUGCCUGCGUCCACUUCGGGGUCAACAGACUUCCCAGUUUAAAAACUCCUGCCUGAUAGUGUUCUCAUGCUGCUAAAACGAUUAUUAUAAUAUGUGGUAUCCAUGAAUUGGGCAAACCAAGAGUGAUUUGAUCGUGGGAGAAAUCACUCUGAACAUUUUAAUUUGAAGUGGCCAAGAUCGACAGUCUUUCAGUAUCCAGAUUGAUGCACCCAGGAAAUGUAUGGUGCACAUUUUAAAUGAACUCAGGAUUUCUGUGCAACACAGAAUGUUUACGUUUGUGUAUAGUGUUGACGACAAAGUGUGCGUACGCGCUGGGCUAUGGCUUACGAGCAACUCAUGCUCAUCUCUUUGUUUUUAUACCCUAGUUAACUUGCUUCUCUGUAUACAGUUCAGUAGUGUUUGUAGUGUUGGGUAUGCUGCGAUAAGCUGUGUGGUUUGGCAACUGUAAUAACCACGGCUUAGUUUCUCACCUAAUAUCCCCAGGUCGCUGGUAGACGAGUAAAUGGCACCUAACCAGUAGCCACAGCCACACCGAGAGGUAUAUUGGAUGUGCUGUGUCUAGUAUGGAACUGCUUAGUAUUCUAGUGUUGAGUGUUUACUAAGGUUUAAUCGGUUUGUAAAACUUAAGCAUGGGUCCAUAAGCUUGGGUUUGUGGUCUUGUAAUGCACUUUGAGUACCAAUGUGGGAUGGUAUAUCCAUUAUCUCACCACCAUAGUCCAUGGUCCAGAGCAGAAAUUGGGACCACCUAAGGCAGCAAAGUUUCAGUCGUACCAAUGUAUUUAUAUGGCUAAUGAUAACCCACUAAUUUCAAAUGGUUUUCACAGAAUCAAUUGUUAUUGGCCAUGUAAAUAAAUUGUAGCCGUGAGAGUUACGCCGCUGCAGGUGGUGCCGACGAGAGAAAUGUCUCGUCUUGACUCGUGGCGCUGUAGCUUAUGGAUCGGUGGUCGCUGUAUCAAUACACCUGUGUCUGGCAUGUGUUCUGAGCUUAUUUGAACUCUUGUUUGCAUUAUCAAGUUGAUCAAAAGCCCACGGUCUCAGUUUUGGUCAGAAUUUUAAAUGAUUGAUGGUAAUUGUAGAUUUACAUUGCGUAAUGUAGAUUUUUACAUUUUAAAUCUAAAUUUACGUUGCGUUUCCACCAAGGGUAUUUUGUAUGAACAGUUGCUCGCAUUUAAAUGGAUUUUGUUUUAAACUGUGCAAAAAUAAACUCCUUAUUGUGGUGAAUUGCU